CKWGGSGGGSGGGCCUAAUACAUGCAGUCGAGCGGACAGAUGGGAGCUUGCUCCCUGAUGUUAGCGGCGGACGGGUGAGUAACACGUGGGUAACCUGCCUGUAAGACUGGGAUAACUCCGGGAAACCGGGGCUAAUACCGGAUGGUUGUYUGAACCGCAUGGUUCAGACAUAAAAGGUGGCUUCGGCUACCACUUACAGAUGGACCCGCGGCGCAUUAGCUAGUUGGUGAGGUAACGGCUCACCAAGGCGACGAUGCGUAGCCGACCUGAGAGGGUGAUCGGCCACACUGGGACUGAGACACGGCCCAGACUCCUACGGGAGGCAGCAGUAGGGAAUCUUCCGCAAUGGACGAAAGUCUGACGGAGCAACGCCGCGUGAGUGAUGAAGGUUUUCGGAUCGUAAAGCUCUGUUGUUAGGGAAGAACAAGUGCCGUUCAAAUAGGGCGGCACCUUGACGGUACCUAACCAGAAAGCCACGGCUAACUACGUGCCAGCAGCCGCGGUAAUACGUAGGUGGCAAGCGUUGUCCGGAAUUAUUGGGCGUAAAGGGCUCGSAGGCGGUUUCUUAAGUCUGAUGUGAAAGCCCCCGGCUCAACCGSGGAGGGUCAUUGGAAACUGGGGAACUUGAGUGCAGAAGAGGAGAGWGSAA
rnacentral:rRNA from 1 species